AGACAGAAGGAAUGGAGAGCCUGGCACUGCUGCUGCCCAAGAGCUGGCAGAAUGUUCCUCAGAAACAAACACCACUUCCUGCCACAAUGGGCCUGUUCUUUGCUCACUGAAUGGGAGCAGGUCUCAAUUUGCAGGUGUUCAGGUAUAAAGAGGAGGGAUGACAGCAGCAGAGAAAGGGGCUUUUCAAAACGCUGCACAGAUGUCAACAAGAGAG